rnacentral:rRNA from 1 species
UACGUAGGGGGCAAGCGUUGUCCGGAUUUAUUGGGCGUAAAGAGCGUGUAGGCGGCCAGGUAGGUCAGCUGUGAAAACUCGAGGCUCAACCUCGAGAUGUCGGCUGAAACCAUCUGGCUAGAGUCCGGAAGAGGAGAAUGGAAUUCCCGGUGUAGCGGUGAAAUGCGCAGAUAUCGGGAGGAACACCGGUGGCGAAGGCGGCAUCCUGGACCGACACUGACGCUGAUGAGCGAAAGCCAGGGGAGCAAACGGG